GACGAACGCUGGCGGCGUGCUUAACACAUGCAAGUCGAACGGAAAGGCCCUGCUUUUGUGGGGUGCUCGAGUGGCGAACGGGUGAGUAACACGUGAGUAACCUGCCCUUGACUUUGGGAUAACUUCAGGCAACUUGGGCUAAUACCGGAUAGGAGCUCCUGCUGCAUGGUGGGGGUUGGAAGGUUUCGGCGGUUGGGGAUGGACUCGCGGCUUAUCAGCUUGUUGGUGGGGUAGUGGAUUACCAAGGCUUGGACGGGUAGCCGGCCUGCGAGGGUGACCGGCCACAUUAGGACUGAGAUACGGCCCAGACUCCUACGGGAGGGAGCAGUGGGGAAUAUUGCACAAUGGGCGGAAGCCUGAUGCAGCAAAGCCGCGUGCGGGAUGACGGCAUUCGGGUUGUAAUCCGCUUUCGCCUGUGACGAAGCGUGAGUGACGGUAAUGGGUAAAGAAGCACCGGCUAACUACGUG
rnacentral:rRNA from 1 species